rnacentral:misc_RNA from 1 species
CACACACACAUUCAAGACCACAUCAAAUUAAGGAUGUACAAAGUCUUCGAAAUCAAGAGAUUUUUUUUUUUUAAUUUUGCUAAUUAUAUUAUACUAUAUAUGAAACGGGUACUCUAUCGGUUUUUAAAUUAUAUUAAAAAUGAAUCACAUACAAUUUAAUUUGAAAUGGAAGGUAUAGAUGGAACCACGUUAUGGCUUUGAUAAAAGAUAAUUUGUAAGACUCUCUAGUCAACUGAGGAGCUGUGAUAGUGACGG